GGCAAAUACCGGUCGAUGCUGCCUCUAACGGUAAGAAGGGAAUCAUGGUUUCCUCUCAGCUGUUAGUACUCUGCUGCCCAUUUUACUGUCAUAAGGAUCAUAAGAUAAGACUCUGAAAGGAAAAUAAAAAUAGAGAUAAAUCUAAUUACGAACAAUCAUCUGAAUUCUAGUACAUCUAGUACAUCUCAUUUCAAAAGCAAAUGGCGUUAUUUGAAUCUGUCAAACAGCUGGGGUCACCGACAACGUAAAAACCCGUCAGCAGUAGACGCCCAUACGCCUACUUUAGUUCAAUCACAUUAUGAUCAACAAAGGUUAUAUAGUCACAUGUGAUAAGUAAUAAAUUUCCAUCAAAGAUGAGCAUGUUGAAGAAAAGGUUAAGCAAGUUCGAUGACAUAUUCAACGCGGAUGAUAUUGACAAAGCAAGUCUUAAAAACCUAUGCUUUCAUGGAAUCCCAGAUGAAGGAGGCUUGAGGUCUUUAUGCUGGAAGCUUUUGUUAAAUUAUUUACCAACAACAAGAGCAAGUUGGUCAGAAACUUUGACACGAAAGAGGGAAUUAUACAGAACGUUUAUAGAGGAUCUCAUAGUAACUCCAGGGGAAUCGAAUGCGGACGGAGAACGUGUUGACGUCACAUUACAUGACCACCCUCUGAACCCAAAUCCGGAGAGUAAAUGGCAAACAUUUUUUAAGGAUAAUGAAGUUUUGCUCCAAAUAGAUAAAGACGUCAGGAGGUUGUGCCCUGAUAUAUCAUUCUUCCAACAGGGUACGGAGUACCCUUGUCAAGCAAUAGUAAAUGCUAGUGGGCAGAAGCGUUUGCAUGGAAGAGUGCAACACACAGUUUUACGAAGCGCUAAUGUCGAAAGAAAAGGAUUAGGAAUAACAAAGAUAGCGGUCUCCAUAAGAAAGGCAGCUGAGGAUUAUGCACCCUUGCCGGAAGGCGGCGAAGCUCAUUGGGAAGUUCUUGAAAGAAUUCUAUUUCUCUACGCGAAAUUAAAUCCGGGACAAGGGUAUGUUCAGGGAAUGAACGAGAUUGUGGGACCUAUCUAUCAUGCAUUCGCCUGUGAUCCCGAUCAACAUUGGAGAGAGUAUGCCGAAGCGGAUACGUUCUUCUGUUUUACGAACUUAAUGGCUGAGAUUCGCGACUUUUUUAUCAAGACACUUGAUGAAGCUGAAUUUGGAAUUAAUUCCAUGAUGACUAAGUUAACACAGCAAGUAAAGGAUAAUGAUCGUGAGGUAUGGCAACGUCUCAAUCAGCAAGAGCUUUGUCCACAAUAUUACAGUUUUAGGUGGCUGACACUGCUUCUGUCACAAGAAUUUCCGUUACCCGAUGUUAUGAGAAUAUGGGAUUCCUUAUUUGCUGAUGAAAAUAGAUUUGAUUUCCUGACUCACAUCUGUUGCGCCAUGAUCUUGUUACUAAAGGAUCAACUUCUUGUUAAUGACUUUGCUGCCAACGUGAAACUUCUGCAGAAUUUUCCUUCGAUGGACAUCCAGAUUGUUCUUUCGAAAGCAGCUGCACUUGCGGGAAAAUCAUUAAAUUCCCCUUGAUGUGGAAGCGAAUCAUAUUUCGGAAAUCAGGGACUUUGAAGAUAAGUAUCGAUAAAAACGAGAGAAAUUAUACAUGAAAAGAGCUGUGAGUGAAUUACUAGAAAUUCUGAUUUUAGGAGUUUACAUCAAAUAGACUUUGGUCCUUAUUCGACUUUUUCAUUGCCCUCAAUCAUGAAACUGCCGAUUAUAUAUUAUAAUGAAAACGUCCUAACGCUAGUGAAACUAUAUUGGAUGAUGUGAUGUUAGAAAAUUUGUAUAAUGCAGAAGAAUGGAGCUAGCUCUAUAUGAAUGCAGAAAAAGAGUGAAAUCAGUUACUGCCAAAUUUUCCUCAGUAGCGUAAAUGUGAGAUUAACAAAGUUUAAAGUUAAGGCUCGUUCAAAAAAUACGAACGCCAGCACAUCUAGCCUUGCACUCAACGUUCUUUUGAACAUUUUUCGAAACCUAUUUUAACUGAACUGUCAUCAACUCAUGCGAUUUUCUAGCUAAGUUGAAGCUAUAAUCUGAAGGCGGAUAUAUUGUAAUAUCUUAUACUUAGAAAGUCACAUUUACAUAUGAAGUCAGAUGGAGCUGCGCGUUAUUUGAAAUUAUAUAUAUAGAAUAUAUACUUAUUUUUGUAAUGCACUGUGACUUUUGUCUUACGUUUAUAAAAUAAAGUGAUCAUAUAUUUCUAU